UGGAAAUAAUAUCUAUGUACUUCUCUAUUCCUGAAGACACAGCUCAUUACCAAGUGCUUUGUUUAACAUGAUCCACAGAUGUGCUGAAAAGAAAUUCCUUUUAGCUACAAAAUUAAAAAAAGAGUCAGAAUGGAUCUCCUCAUCAAAAACGGGGGGACAGGGUGGGACGGUGCAGUCGCAUGAAAUCUGACCAUGCCAGUUAAGUGGUUAAAAUAUAUAUUUUUUGUUAAAAAUAUUUCUUGUUCAAAUACUGCUAUUUUUUUUAAACAAUUGUACUUUGGAGAAGAAAUAAUACAGACAUUAAUUAGAACAAUAGUUCAGAACAUGGACAUAUUUUUACAUGCAAUUACAAAGGAAAAAGCUCAUGGCUUGAUUCAGUGGUGGACACUGUUGCCGGAGAGCCAGCUGCAGUAAUUUGCAAAUUCUAGUGUCAGCCUUCCCCUUGUGUACUUGUAUGCCUGAAUGUGCAAGCAGUGAGACACCUACUUUUAGUGCCUGUGUAUGAUGUAACGCCAUCGGUGGUUAUAGGUAGUCCACCAUCGGCGCACCAUUGCAUGCAUCAUCGAUGCAGCUGCAAUUUCUCCAUCUAAACAUGACCUUUGUGGACCUAAGAUAACACUGUCACUUUCACUGACACGUACAUGACACUCCCAUAACACACCUAUGAGAUGGAUAUUUUUACUUCAGGCCACCUCUCAGUGCAAAGGAACGCCAAUCGCUUAACCACUCCAUUUCUAAUACCAUAGGUCCUGUACACAAUAGCACCUUUGAGCAUACACUCAGGGUAAUGAAUGUGCCAUAGGUAGCGCCGGACUGGGACUACAAAUAGGUCCUGGCAUUUAAAGCACAUAGGCCAACCUUAGUGUCAGAAUCUGUUUCCUGGCAUAGACUCAUCCCUUUACUAUUAGUGACUCCUACUUCUUAGUCUAUGUUCUUACAAAUAUAAUGAUAUUAGAAUAAUAUUCAAGUGUACAUCAUUCUCUAUAUUCCCUUAUACACAUUAUAUCACACAGUAAUAGUGCCCAUUAUACCACAUUAUGCAAUGCAGUAGUAGAGCCCCCUAUACAUUAUGCCUCAAACUAAUGCCCCUUACACAUUACACCACACACAGUAAUGCCCCUCACACAUUAUGUUGCACACAGUAAUGCCCCUUACACAUUAUGUUACAAAGUACUGCCCUUACAAAUUGACAUGCAGUAGUAGUGCCCUCUAUAACACAAUAUGGCAAACAAUAGAAGUGCAGUACUCUUCUGUUCCCCUGUGUCUCUGCAGCAGCCUUCUCCCCUCCUGUGUCUCUGCAGCAGCUUCUAUUCCCCUGUAUCUCUGCAGCAGACCUCUUGUGUUUCUACAGCAGCCUCUUUUCCUCAGCCUCACUUUCCUGGAUCUUUCCCUUGCUCCUCCUCAUGACAGCUGCAUGUUCCUCUAGUCUUGGUGGCUCACUCUGUGCUAUGGCACACUCUAUAUCAUGACAUCACACACACACACACACACACACACACACACACAUAUCAGGGAAUACUUUUUUUAUUGUGCCGGGUUAUCCUGGCUUCUCCAUGCCUGUGCUCUGUUGAUUACGCCAGCAGUUGCGGCAUGGGGACCGGACAGCAGCAGCAGCCAGAGCUGACCCCUCCCCCCUUAAUCCCGUGCUCUUUGACCGAGCACAGCACCAGGAAUUUUAUGUGCUCAGCCGGCAUCUCAGCCCUACCAGAACUGCCAGAUAGACUGCGUUUGGCAGUAGGGCUUUUCUAGAUGUGCAGUAGCAAAUAAUCGCUCAGCUAGUGCUACAGGAACAUUUAAGUAAUGGGUGCAGUGGCAAACGCAGGAUUUGCAUGGGGGGUUUUUCAGAACUGGGUGGAGCCAAGCAUGGGGGUGGGGACUGAGGUGACCCAGUAUAUGCUGGGUCCUUAAAACUAGUGUGUCUGUGUGUGUAUAUAUAUAAAGGCCAAGCUCUUAGAUUCUUGGCAAUUAGCGUAGUUAAAUCACACACAAAAUAGCAACACUACAAUGAGUAGUGCAGUGAGCAUUAGUGCUGUUGGUUUUCACCAGGGACAGCUUUGACAAAAGCGAGAGUGUUUUCCUAUGAGUAGAGCCAUCCUUGCCUUUCCACCUCUAGCUAAUGUUGAUUGAGCUCUAGAUUUAGCUGCACUAGAGAGUUGGAAACUGAAAAUCUCCAUUUGCGUCAGAUAUAGUGUGUUGUAAGUUUUAUGUAAAUGUAUGUUGAUGUCUUAUAUUUUUAUUAUGCUUGUUUUAUCACAUAUUUGCUUGUUUUUAUUGACACACUCUAGCUCUGUGUGAGCGCUUUUGAGAUGUGUGUCGUUUUUAUGACACAUUGCUACUUUUGAUGUUUGAUAAGUGCUGUUUUGUCUUUGUUUACAUGCACAGUGCUCCCUGCGCAUUGCCAUGGUGACCGGUGAAGCCUGAACGUGUCACUUCCGGUCGGGCUGUGACGUCAAGACCGGAAGUGCGGGACGGGGGACGCCGAGACACGCCGUGGUCCGCGCAGCUGGGAGUCGUGAUUGCGGGGGUGUAUUUAUCUGGGUGAAGUAACCCCUUUUUUUUGUUUUCAAAGAGUGUGAUUUAGAACACAAAUUUGACUGUUGUUUUCUUUGGAGCAGAGUGUGAUUUAGAACACAAAUUUGACUGUUGUUUUCUUUGGAGCAGG